UACGUAGGGUGCGAGCGUUAAUCGGAAUUACUGGGCGUAAAGCGUGCGCAGGCGGUCUGUUAAGACAGAUGUGAAAUCCCCGGGCUUAACCUGGGAACUGCAUUUGUGACUGGCAGGCUAGAGUAUGGCAGAGGGGGGUAGAAUUCCACGUGUAGCAGUGAAAUGCGUAGAGAUGUGGAGGAAUACCGAUGGCGAGGGCAGCCCCCUGGGCCAAUACUGACGCUCAUGCACGAAAGCGUGGGGAGCAAACAGG
rnacentral:rRNA from 1 species